rnacentral:rRNA from 1 species
CACGUAGGGGGCAAGCGUUGUCCGGAUUCAUUGGGCGUAAAGAGCUCGUAGGCGGUUCGAUAAGUCGGGUGUGAAACCUCCAGGCUCAACCUGGAGACGCCACCCGAUACUGUCGUGACUAGAGUCCAGUAGGGGAGCGUGGAAUUCCUGGUGUAGCGGUGAAAUGCGCAGAUAUCAGGAGGAACACCAGUGGCGAAGGCGGCGCUCUGGGCUGGAACUGACGCUGAGGAGCGAAAGCGUGGGGAGCAAACAGG